rnacentral:ncRNA from 2 species
CUCGGUGCCGAUCCGGCAGGUGCCCGGGAACCCGGUGAAGGACCGGGGCUGCCCAGCAGCUGUGAGCGACGCGGCUCCCGCAGCACGCCCACUGGACCCCCGGGUCCGGGAAGGGGCGGGAGCCGGCCAUCGGCGCGAGCCAGAAGACCGGCCUGCCGGAUUCUCCCGAA